AUUUUGGGAUACAAAGUCGGGAUUCUUGACCUUCGAAUUUAUUUUGAGAUAUAAGUUGUGCAUGAAUUUAUUGGUAUGGAACAAUUAGGAAAAUUUGGGACCAAAGGUGAUAAAAUUUGAAGUGGAAAGUCAUCCACAAAUUCCAUGUGGUGCCCACACAACUUUGUGUCAUCUUCUAAGUGGAACAACUCAUUAUGUGGGCCAAGGCACCCUUGACUAAGUCUUGCAUUGUUAAAAAGAUGACCACUUCAUUUCACUUCACUCCAACUCUUAAAAAAAAGAAGGAAUUGAAGAGCACCACAAUAAGGGGGCUCUCGGCCAGCCCAAGGAAAAAUCCACCCCCAUUUCUUGCUCUUCCAAAAUUAUUUUCUUGGUACAAACCCACUAUUUUGAGGUCCCUAAGUAGCGUGGGAGUGUCGUUGGAGCGAUCAACCCAUUAUUUUUCAUCCAUUGGAAACCCUAGCAUUUUGUGGAAUUGAAGAGGAUAGAUCGUGGGCAGCCCGAAUCAUAGGUUGGAUUUAGCUUGAGUUUGGAUCGUAUUGGAGAGCGUUUGAGGUACGGACGCACAGCCUGGUGAUCCACCUGUUUAGGACACCCUUUCUGCUAUUCGGAGUGCUCCUCUCUUUCCGGAGCUUAUACUUUUGGUAUAUAUAUUUAUUAGUGCAUUUGUAUAUAUUCGUUCAUGGGUACGGCGGGGCCCUGUCCCGUCAUAUGAUUCUGUCGGUCUGUUUAGAGGUCUAUGGACAUGUUUGUGGGUUAGGGUCUUUCUGUAUGGAU